rnacentral:rRNA from 1 species
GACGAAGGUGGCGAGCGUUGUUCGGAAUCACUGGGCAUAAAGCGCACGUAGGCGGCGGCGUAAGUUGGAUGUGAAAUCCCUCGGCUUAACCGAGGAACUGCCUUCCAAACUGCUUGGCUUGAGUCCGGGAGAGGUGAGUGGAAUUCCCAGUGUAGCGGUGAAAUGCGUAGAUAUUGGGAGGAACACCAGUGGCGAAGGCGGCUCACUGGACCGGAACUGACGCUGAUGCGCGAAAGCGUGGGGAGCAAACGGG